GUAAUGGCAGGUUAGCAUACUGCCGUGAAUACGUUCCCGGGCCCUUGUACACACCGCCCGUCACACCAUGAGAGUUGGGAAUACCCGAAGCCUGUGAGCUAACUUAUAGAGGCAGCAGUCGAAGGUAGAAUCAAUGAUUGGGGUGAAGUCGUAACAAGGUACC
rnacentral:rRNA from 1 species